GAAAAGAAUUUCUAAUUGAAAUUGACUUGGAGAAAAGCUUCUGCAGAUAAGAACGACACUGUGUUCUGUGGAUAAAAGAUGCUGGAACAUUUAAACCAUCUCAAGAUUUAAAACAUGAUCCUGUUUGUUGAAAAUGGAUCUCUGGUUGAGUUAUAUUC